CUACGGGAGGCAGCAGUGGGGAAUAUUGGACAAUGGGCGAAAGCCUGAUCCAGCCAUGCCGCGUGUGUGAAGAAGGUCUUCGGAUUGUAAAGCACUUUAAGUUGGGAGGAAGGGCAGUAACUUAAUACGUUGCUGUUUUGACGUUACCGACAGAAUAAGCACCGGCUAACUCUGUGCCAGCAGCCGCGGUAAUACAGAGGGUGCAAGCGUUAAUCGGAAUUACUGGGCGUAAAGCGCGCGUAGGUGGUUUGUUAAGUUGGAUGUGAAAGCCCCGGGCUCAACCUGGGAACUGCAUCCAAAACUGGCCAACUAGAGUACGGUAGAGGGUGGUGGAAUUUCCUGUGUAGCGGUGAAAUGCGUAGAUAUAGGAAGGAACACCAGUGGCGAAGGCGACCACCUGGACUGAUACUGACACUGAGGUGCGAAAGCGUGGGGAGCAAACACGGAUUAGAUAUCCCUGGUAGUCCACGCCGUAA
rnacentral:rRNA from 1 species